UACACCUACGGGGCGCAGCAGUGAGGAAUAUUGGUCAAUGGCCGAGAGGCUGAACCAGCCAAGUCGCGUGAGGGAAGACGGCCCUACGGGUUGUAAACCUCUUUUGUCGGGGAGCAAAGAGAGUCACGUGUGACUCAUUGAGAGUACCCGAAGAAAAAGCAUCGGCUAACUCCGUGCCAGCAGCCGCGGUAAUACGGAGGAUGCGAGCGUUAUCCGGAUUUAUUGGGUUUAAAGGGUGCGCAGGCGGUCUGUUAAGUCAGCGGUCAAAGCCCGGGGCUCAACCCCGGCCCGCCGUUGAAACUGGC
rnacentral:rRNA from 1 species